rnacentral:lncRNA from 1 species
CUUUCUCUAAAGCUUCUCAUAUAAUCAGUGUAGACUUGAAUUGGUGUUCUUCCUCUAAGUACUGGUAAUUGAUCACAACCUAAAGAAAUGUACUCAGGAUUUCUCCUGCCUGAUCUAUCUGUAUACACAAGAUCUGGGUUUUUGCUAAUUUCUUCAAGUACCCAUGGAGGUAGAGGGAUGCUGCAAAAAUAAAUUCACAAUUUUAAGAUUAAUCAGUGGCGGAGCAACACAUGAUGCGGAAGGGUGGUCAGUUGAACAUCCUUUGUCAAUUUUUUUUACUAGUAUAUAUAAAAGUAUAUUGUGUAUUUACUUGUUUCAAGUUAAUAGACUGAAGGGAGGUCAGUUGAACUUGUAUAUAGAAAAGUAUAUCGUGUAUAUUGGUCCAAAGUUACUUUUUACAUAUAUAUUUAUUAAAUCUCAAACACCUGUGACGAAAUUUCUAACUUCAGUACUACACUUGAUCAUAAAAAAAACCUUGAACAACUAUGGUACGUAGAUUAUAUAAAAAUGAUACAUUUUGAGAUUUUGGAAGAUGUGGCAAUAGUAGGAUAGGGUUUUGGCCAUAGCCCAUAGGUAUAAUUCUAUCAACAAUUUCAAAAAGAAAACUAAUUGUUGAAAAUAGAACAAAACAAUAGAUAUAAAGAGAAUGUAAGAACUAAUGGUAUGUAUAGUAUAUAUUAGUUUUCAAGAAACACAAACAAAAAAUUGCUAAAUAUUUGAACUCUAGAAAAUCAAUAAACAUUAGUGUUUUUUUAAAAAUAAUAAUCAAUUCCACUAUUAAUAUUCAAGAAAGUAUAUGGUCAUUAAUGACUCAUUCAGGUAAUAGAUAAAGGGGUAUACAGUCAAAUAGUACCUCUAAUGAUUAAUUGAUGCUAUCAAAUCGUUUUCUUAACAGGUGUAUCAGAACAUUAAACGAUAGAUAUCAGAACAUUAAACGAUAGAUAAAAAUGACAGAAGAGGUUGAUAAUACCUGCAGGAAUCUCCGACGUUAC